rnacentral:tmRNA from 1 species
GGGGGCGACCGGUUUUGACAGCAGGCAGAGUCUGAUUGUAAGCACGCCGAGCUUUGUGUGGUGGCUCGUAAAUCUCAACGCUCGAACUACAAAUGGCGAUAACAGCUAUGCACUCGCUGCCUAAUUUACCGAGUAAAUUAGCUUAAUCCCCGGGUCCAAGGAGGCUUGGGGACGAGUACCCUGCCGGUUUCUCCCGCUUCUUGAAAGAUCGGCAUACAGGGUAUCGGAAAUGAGAAGAUAGUCCCGGCGGAUGUCUGUGCGCCGGGGCGAAAUCGACAGACUGGGGCCCGCGUUGGGUUGCCUUUCACCAGGCGCAGGCAGAAGGACGAACGAAAGGAUAAGCGUGUAGAAAGCUUUUGGGUUCCUUGUUUGGACGAGGGUUCGACUCCCUCCGCCUCCACA